rnacentral:RNase_P_RNA from 1 species
GCGGAUGACCGGAUGGCUGCACUGCCGCUGGCAGUGAGGAAAGUCCGGACUCCACAGGACAACGGUGCCGGGUAACACCCGGCCGGGGAAACCCGAGGGACAGCGCCACAGAAAACAAACCGCCACUGAACAGCUGCGGCAUGAUCGGAGGUAAGGGUGAAACGGUGGUGUAAGAGACCACCGCAUUGGCGGUAACGUCGAUGGCACGGCAAGCCCCACCGGGAGCAAUGCCAAAUAGGGACGGGAGCGGCUCAGGCCAGUAAGGUGUCCUGCUUACCGCCGUCCGGGUCGGCAGCACGAGCAGCGUGGCAACACGGUGCCCAGAUGAAUGGCCAUCAAGAGCUCGCAAGAGCUUGAACAGAAUCCGGCUUACAGGUCAUCCGCACUG